GGUUAAGCGACUAAGCGUACACGGUGGAUGCCCUGGCAGUCAGAGGCGAUGAAGGGCGUGCUAAUCUGCGAUAAGCGCCGGUAAGGUGAUAUGAACCGUUAUAACCGGCGAUACCCGAAUGGGG
rnacentral:rRNA from 1 species